UACGGAGGGUGCAAGCGUUAUCCGGAUUCACUGGGUUUAAAGGGUGCGUAGGUGGUAAUGUAAGUCAGUGGUGAAAUCUCCGUGCUUAACAUGGAAACUGCCAUUGAUACUAUGUUUCUUGAAUUUUCUGGAGGUCAGCGGAAUAUGUCAUGUAGCGGUGAAAUGCUUAGAUAUGACAUAGAACACCAAUUGCGAAGGCAGCUGACUACAGGGAUAUUGACACUGAGGCACGAAAGCGUGGGGAUCAAACAGG
rnacentral:rRNA from 1 species